UACGUAGGGUGCGAGCGUUGUCCGGAAUUAUUGGGCGUAAAGAGCUCGUAGGCGGUGUGUCACGUCGGCCGUGAAAACCUGGGGCUUAACUCUGGGCGUGCGGUCGAUACGGGCAUCACUAGAGUUCGGCAGGGGAGACUGGAAUUCCUGGUGUAGCGGUGAAAUGCGCAGAUAUCAGGAGGAACACCAGCGGCGAAGGCGGCACUCUGGGCUGGUACUGACGCUGAGGAGCGAAAGCGUGGGUAGCAAACAGG
rnacentral:rRNA from 1 species